rnacentral:rRNA from 1 species
CCUACGGGUGGCAGCAGUGGGGAAUAUUGCACAAUGGGGGAAACCCUGAUGCAGCAACGCCGCGUGAAGGAAGACGGUUUUCGGAUUUUAAACUUCUGUUCUUAGUGAAGAAUCAUGACGGUAGCUAAGGAGCAAGCCACGGCUAACUACGUGCCAGCAGCCGCGGUAAUACGGAGGUGGCAAGCGUUGUCCGGAAUUACUGGGUGUAAAGGGAGCGCAGGCGGGAAGCCAAGUCAGCUGUGAAAACUACGGGCUUAACUUGUAGACUGCAGUUGAAACUGGUUUUCUUGAGUGAAGUAGAGGUUGGCGGAAUUCCGAGUGUAGCGGUGAAAUGCGUAGAUAUUAGGAGGAACACCGGUGGCGAAGGCGGCUUACUGGACUGUAACUGACGUUGAGGCUCGAAGGCGUGGGGAGCAAACAGGAUUAGAUACCCUUGUAGUC